rnacentral:lncRNA from 1 species
AAAAUAAUAAUAAGUUAUAUCAAUUAAAAUUGGUAUAUGCUACACUUACUUUAAAAUAGUAUAAAAGUUUGGUAUAAAAAAUAAGUGGUUUCCACGGCCAUGGGCUCAAAAAUGGUUUGGACCCACUGUCCGAAGAGCUUAAUGAUUUGCUACUCGUUUCCUCAUUAUGUCCCUAAAACUUUUGUUAUUGAUUAAUGAUAGACUUUACAAGUGAAUUCCUCAUCUCUGGGUCGCCAGAUUCCUUUCAAGUGUUUUUAUUAACAUUACGUUACACUAGAUGACCCGCUGCGUCGAUGGCGCCAAAAAUAUCGACCAACUAAGUAUUUAAACCAUGUGCAUGUGACAGUUUAAUAGAUAUACGUUUAACACAUUAUAUGGUAUCAUGAUAGAUCAAAAGGAAGUAAUAACAUUGAUUGAUAAUGGCAUAUAUUGAUUUUAUAAAACAAGUUGUAGUAGGAUCAGUUUAGACACAUAAAAAUAUUUUAAAACUGAUCAGAACAUAAACAAAUAUAAACUUAAUAUUGAUACAUAGUACUCUAAGAAGUUUACGAUGAACAUAAACAAAUAAAACCUUAGUGCUGAUACAUAAUGUUCUCAGAGAACUUAGUGCUGAUACAUAGUGUUCUCAUAAAACUUAAUGGUUUAAGAAAUUUACAAUGAGUAAAGUACAUAUCCAGAGAUGUAUCAUAUAGAUGGUUGUGGAUAUGAAGCGGUGAUCAUCACGUAUAGCCUUCAAUACAGGUGACAUCGUAUCAAAAUUAACUUCUUCGUCUAAUCAACGCUUCAUAUUGGGUCUUAAUGGCGGUCAUUCCCUACAAUAGAGAUCCUUUGAUAUCAUCAUUGAGGGGCUUCAAUAAUACUUGUUUGUCUUUUACAGAAUCUCCUAUGAUUGUAAAGUUGUAUCGUUAGGACGAUUAACAAUAUAUUUAGCUUGUGAUAGCAUAU